UUGCAAGGAAAAAAAUCCAAAAGGAGAGCCCACUGACCAGAGGGUGGGCACAAGUACACACUCGCCAGUCACCUUACCAACUCAGCUGCCCUUGGGAGACAGUCCAGGGCCACCUCCUAUCCCGUUGCUGCCAGACCCAGAGACCAUCUCACCCUGGAGACCAUCUCCCCAGCCUCCAGGCUCCGGAGCCACCUCUCCAGUCUAGUCAGAAGGCUUUGGCCCUUGUCUCCUUGGGCUAGGGAACCCUGAAGUCUUGUUUUGGGACACCUUACAGCUUGCACGCUGAGGGUUGCAGGACCUGUUCUUGCCACCUCCUGGGCUGACAUCUAACAAGGAGGUGACUGAGAAGGCACCAUCUCUGCCAAGUGCUGUCUUCACAUAUUGGGAUUCCGUCCUCUGAGCACAGGAAGAUGCCAGCUCCAUUAGUGCUGACUUGGGUUCCUGUCCUCAGCCACCAGGCAGGUGCUGAGUGAACACUGGGAUAUGGCUUCCAGAAAGGGAGAUGGCUAAGCCUUGUUCCAUUGCAGUGCCUGGCUACCCUGAACUCUGGUUGCCUGCCCACCUGGCCUUGCCCACUGGAACUCUGCCCUUCACCCUCACCAGCUCCAUGCCACCCUCCCCUGGGCACUGAGCUCCACUGGGAAGUGAUACAUGGGCCUGAGAGCGGCCGUCUCAUCUACGUGCAAGAGGAGAGCCAGGACACUGAUGGGGACUCUUUAGAAAAGCAGCCUUCUGGGCCCACAGGAGGCUGAAAUCUAUGUCCACCUUUCCAAGCCCAGCUUCCCAACCUAAGGAGGCUUCUUGCCCAUCAUGUCCAUGUUUGUGACCCCUGAAGUGGAGCUGGUUUUAAGUACAACUACAAAGGCAAAGGGUAACUUGAAGUAGAGCUAUCACAAAGAAAUCUCUUCUUGGUCAGAGGGGUUCUAUUUGGCUCUGGUCCUGGCCUCCUCUGCUGAGAUGGAAGGUUCCAGACACCCAUCAGUGCCAAAGGCAAAUUAAACAUACCCAUGAAAAGCUCUCUGUCUCCCAAGCACUUCCUUCCUGAAAACAGUGAGGGAAGGAGGUU
rnacentral:lncRNA from 1 species